ACCAAAGAUCCAAAAGACAAAUUCCAGGCCCUCGGUGCCAGUGCCAUCUCGAAACGACAGAAUCCGGUCCAUGCAAUGGAGUCAUAGGAAGCAGCUACUGGUUCAUUCUGCACGGAGUUUCCAGUAUGUCUUGGAAAGCUACUCAGGCCACAUGAUGCCAUCCAUUGGUUGAAACUGGGAUUGUGGAUCUGCAGGUGAAGCGGAUGUAAGAUUAGAGAUUGGAGCUGGGGACAAUCUCUUCCACUGAAGCCAUUUGUCAUCCCUUUCUUGCUUUACGGAUACAGUGAGUGGCUCCUGAAAUUUAUGGGUGGUGCUACUUUCAUGCUACCUGGAGCACCCCCUCCCUCCUCCCCACAGUGAGGCCUCAUCCCUGCCAGCCUGCCGCUCAGGUUGUCGCUUUUAGAGUCCCUUCUUGAAGAUGUCUCCUGCCCCCUCCUCAGGUGAGCUGAAUCUAGAUCAACAAGAACCAGUGUGUGAGGUGGGGUGGGGCUAGAAAAUGAGCUGGCCUCAUUCCUCAGUUCUAGAAAUACCUAAAGGACCAGCUCAGCUUCUCGGUGUCCUCUGGGGUUCCCUGAGGCAUUUGGUACUCCGCAAUGACCUUUGUUACCUUCUCCGUGUGCUCAAGCCUGUUCCCCACAUUCCUUUACUCUCUUUUGAAAGCACAAAAAGACUUCUUUCAGAGUCUGUUUCUUGGGGACAUUAUAUAAGGGAACCCAUUUGAAGCGGGUACUGUUAUUUGUAUUGUUUGUUUUAUUUGUCUUGGGGAAAAUAUCUGGCUGUGUUCCAUUCAUUCCAUAGACAGUAGUAUAAGAAGGU